rnacentral:rRNA from 1 species
UACAGAGGGGGCAAGCGUUGUUCGGAAUUACUGGGCGUAAAGGGCGCGUAGGCGGCCUUCUAAGUCGAACGUGAAAUCCCUCGGCUUAACCGGGGAACUGCAUCUGAUACUGGAGGGCUUGAGUUCGGGAGAGGGAUGCGGAAUUCCAGGUGUAGCGGUGAAAUGCGUAGAUAUCUGGAGGAACACCGGUGGCGAAGGCGGCAUCCUGGACCGACACUGACGCUGAGGAGCGAAAGCCAGGGGAGCAAACGGG